GACGAACGCUGGCGGCGUGCCUAAUACAUGCAAGUAGAACGCUUAAGCCAGGCGCUUGUUCUUUUUUGCUGAGUCGCGAACGGGUGAGUAACGCGUAGGUAAUCUCCCUUGUAGCGGGGGAUAAUCACUGGACAUGAUAGCUAAUAUCGCAUAACAUCCGUCGACACAUGUCAUCUAUUUGAAAGGCGCAAUUGUUUCACCAUAAGAUGGACCUGCGUUGUCUUAGCUUGUAGGUGUGUUAAUGUCUCAUCUACGCGACGAUAGAUAGCCUACCUGAGAGGGUGAUCGGCCACACUGGGACUGAGACAGGGCCCAGACUCCCACGGGAAGCCGCAGUAGUGUGUCUUCGGCCAUUGGGGCAGACCUGACCGAGCAGCGCCGCGUGAGUGAGGACGGUUGUCGGAUCGGAAAGUUCUGUUGUAGGGCAAGAACCGGUGUGAGAGUGGAAGGUUCACGCUGUGACGGUAGCUUACCAGAAAGGGACGGCUAACUACGUG
rnacentral:rRNA from 1 species